rnacentral:rRNA from 1 species
CUACGGGCCGCUCCAGUGAGGAAUAUUGCACAAUGGGGGAAACCCUGAUGCAGCAACGCCGCGUGGAGGAUGACGCAUUUCGGUGUGUAAACUCCUUUUAUCAGAGAAGAAAAUGACGUUAUCUGAUGAAUAAGCUCCGGCUAACUCCGUGCCAGCAGCCGCGGUAAUACGGAGGGAGCAAGCGUUAUUCGGAAUCACUGGGCGUAAAGGACGCGUAGGCGGGUUUUUAAGUCUGGUGUGAAAUCCUAUGGCUCAACCAUAGAACUGCACUUGAAACUGGGGACCUAGAGUAUGGAAGGGGCAGGUGGAAUUAGUGGUGUAGGGGUAAAAUCCGUAGAUAUCACUAGGAAUACCGAAAGCGAAGGCGACCUGCUGGGACAUUACUGACGCUGAGGCGUGAAAGCGUGGGGAGCAAACAGGAUUAGAUACCCGUGUAGUC